AUGAUUGUUUUUAUGUGUGUUUUCUUAUAUUUCAAUAUAGCUGCUUGUUUUGUUGGUCCUCUAGCGUUUGCUGUGAUACUCUAUCGGCCUAUCCCUUUUUCAUAUCCAUCUAUAUUUAUUUAUUCUCUAGUUUUUGCACCAUCUUAUCAGUUGUUCUUCUUCUUGUUCAUAACUCGAGUGUUCCCUAGGAAGUUAUGCAAGCCUACAUAUAUUACCAGACUGCCUUUCAAGCGUUUCAACAAAACUGUGAAGAAGUUUAGUGAGAUUCAAUUAGGCCAUGUGACAAAGUACAAAAUGGAAGCCCUGCUUCAUAUGCGAAAGAAACUUAAAAUUCCAAUGAAUCUGCUCGAAUGGAUAGAUCAGCAUAUGCUUGGUAGUACAAAGCUCUGUUUCAAGCAUAAGAACAAAGUUAUCAAGAUUACAAAAGAUAUGGUCAACAAAAUUUUUGAUUUCCCUGGUGGCACUGUGCCUUUUGUAUUUAGUAGCGACGAUCCCCAAGUGAAGGCAGAGGUUACAAAGUUGAGGAACAAGUAUGUUGAUCAUCGGAACAAAAUGCCAAUCAACAAAAUAGAGGAGGUGAUGUUUAGUGAUGAGAUAGAAGAUGGUUUUAUCAGGAGCUUUGCUUUUCAUUUCCUAUCAUCUAUUUUGUGCCCUGCGUCAUACUGCUUUGGUAACAUGAAGAUCUUGUACUAUCUAAGAGAUGUUUCUGCUAUCCCUUCACUUGACUUUGGGCAAUUGGCACUGGAUUUCAUGCGUGAGGAGUCAGACGUCACUUUGAAAUGA
rnacentral:rRNA from 1 species